GACGAACGCUGGCGGCGUGCUUAACACAUGCAAGUCGAGCGGUAAGGCCUCUUCGGGAGUACACGAGCGGAGAACGGGUGAGUAACACGUGGGUGACCUGCCCUCAGCUCUGGGAUAAGCCUGGGAAACUGGGUCUAAUACCGGAUAUGACCUUUCCUCGCAUGGGGUUUGGUGGAAAGUUUUUUCGGAUGGGGAUGGGCCCGCGGCCUAUCAGCUUGUUGGUGGGGUGAUGGCCUACCAAGGCGACGACGGGUAGCCGGCCUGAGAGGGCGACCGGCCACACUGGGACUGAGACACGGCCCAGACUCCUACGGGAGGCAGCAGUGGGGAAUAUUGCGCAAUGGGCGGAAGCCUGACGCAGCGACGCCGCGUGGGGGAUGACGGCCUUCGGGUUGUAAACCUCUUUCGACCCCGACGAAUUUGGACGGUAGGGGUAGAAGAAGCACCGGCCAACUACGUG
rnacentral:rRNA from 1 species